UACGAAGGGGGCUAGCGUUGUUCGGAUUUACUGGGCGUAAAGCGCACGUAGGCGGAUCGUUAAGUCGGGGGUGAAAUCCUGGAGCUCAACUCCAGAACUGCCUUCGAUACUGGCGAUCUCGAGUCCGGAAGAGGUGAGUGGAACUCCUAGUGUAGAGGUGGAAUUCGUAGAUAUUAGGAAGAACACCAGUGGCGAAGGCGACUCACUGGUCCGGUACUGACGCUGAGGUGCGAAAGCCAGGGGAGCGAACGGG
rnacentral:rRNA from 1 species